rnacentral:lncRNA from 1 species
AUGCUCACAGAGGGAACAGCCCCCACGCAGCCCAAUUGCCGUUUACUUGGUGGGAGUCUUGAGUUCUUUCUUGGUAGAAAGCAGCAGGGGCGUCGGGCACAAGGUAUAUCCAGUUACUGUCUCGCCAGCCAGGGAUCCGGGAUGGGGUGUGUCCUGGGGACGCUGGUCAGCUCAGCGGUCACUGCCCUGUGCCUGCUCUCGCUGAUGUCACUGUUGGCACCUGUGGAGACGUGGCCUCCCACCCGGGCUGUGUCUGCAGGAAUGGCCCGCCCCCCGCCACGCCGAGCCUGGCAGCUGCUUGUUGGCCUAUGGGUUCCACUCUUCCCAGUGGCGUUGUGGUCGCUCCGUGUCCUCACUCUGGCCACAACUGGGACUCAGUCCCUCUGGCUCCCGAGCCUGAGCCCCGUCCCCUCCCCCUCAUCUGUUGUCCCCGCUCGGCGGCGCCCCCUGGCUGCGGCAGCUGCAUGAGCCGGCAGACUCACUGCCUCUGCUGCUGCCUGCUCUGACUGGGGUUUCUGUCGCUGGCAACGUGAUUCAGGCGCCCCUUCCCGCCUUUCCACACUUCACGGAUACCCAGGGUUCGGCUCUUAGGGUUUUAGGGUUCCAAGAAGGCGGGGAGGCGGCUAGCUCCGUAGAAGCGCCUGCACACAGGGAACCUCCGGCCGUUUUCCACUAGGACUGACGAGGCUGUGCAAGUGCGGGAGAGUCGGAGGAGGCUGCGGCUGAGCCGAAUGACCUCAAAGGUUGUGGAGGAGGCCGUGAGGGGCAGCUGUGGGCGGGAGCUGCCCACGUGGGCGGGAGUAGGGGCGAGCCAUGGUCAACCACGGACGGGGAGGGAGAGAGAUGGGCGUCCUCGAAGGUGCGUGGCCUUGGGUUCGCCUGCAUCCUGGAGUUCAGCGCCACUGUGUUAGGUUUUAGGGUUCGAAGAAGACGAGGAGGCCACUGGUUAGGGGGGACAGCAAGGUGGGGGGGAAAGCGAGUGGGAGCUGGGGUCAAGCCAGGCUUCCUUCUGUCUGAACAGCGGGCAGGGCCCCUGUUGGGGGAGAUGCAGAGCGCCACAGGGACCCUGGUAGUGUGCGUGUGCGUGUGCGUGUGUGCUUGAGUGUGUGUGCAUAUGUGUGCGUUCGUGUGUGUGUGUGCAGGAUGGCCCCUUGGUGAACCUGUCAAUGCGUUGUCUUAGUUUGGAAUGUGCCAAGUGUGGACUUUCCGAAGCAAUAAACAUUCCUCCAGCCCUUAGGUUCUCUAUCUG